UGGGGAAUAUUGGACAAUGGGCGCAAGCCUGAUCCAGCAAUGCCGCGUGUGUGAAGAAGGCCUUCGGGUUGUAAAGCACUUUUGUCCGGAAAGAAAUCCUUGGCUCUAAUACAGUCGGGGGAUGACGGUACCGGAAGAAUAAGCACCGGCUAACUACGUGCCAGCAGCCGCGGUAAUACGUAGGGUGCAAGCGUUAAUCGGAAUUACUGGGCGUAAAGCGUGCGCAGGCGGUUUGCUAAGACCGAUGUGAAAUCCCCGGGCUCAACCUGGGAACUGCAUUGGUGACUGGCAGGCUAGAGUAUGGCAGAGGGGGGUAGAAUUCCACGUGUAGCAGUGAAAUGCGUAGAGAUGUGGAGGAAUACCGAUGGCGAAGGCAGCCCCCUGGGCCAAUACUGACGCUCAUGCACGAAAGCGUGGGGAGCAAACAGGAUUAGAUACCCUGGUAGUCCACGCCCUAAACGAUGUCAACUAGUUGUUGGGGAUUCAUUUCCUUAGUAACGUAGCUAACGCGUGAAGUUGACCGCCUGGGGAGUACGGUCGCAAGAUUAAAACUUAAAUGAAUUGACGGGGU
rnacentral:rRNA from 1 species